AUAUAUAUCAAGUUUCAUUAUAUAUAUAUAUCAACUUUCAUUAUAUAUAUAUCAAGUUUCAUUAUAUAUAUAUCGACUUUCAUUAUAUAUAUAUCAACUUUCAUUAUAUAUAUAUCAAAUCUUUUUUUCCUACCGAGCCCCGGAAGGGACAUGUCCGUAUGGCGAAGCGACAACGAAGGACACUCACCCGGACGAGAAUUUUAUUGAGUUUUAUUUUAAAAUCGGCCUGAAACACACAGACAUUCAAGCAGUGCGAUGCGCUAAGAGUCUGCCAUGCAGACCAGCGAUCCUGAUAAUGUUGUUGGCCUUGGAUGAUGAGGUCCAGUUACCAGGAGCACUAGUCUGCAGCUUACUGGUUCCGUCUUGCAGCUCCUCCACGCUGUCCUCCUCUCUACCGACCAAAUCAAGGAACCAGGAAGCUGCUGUGGAUCCUCUGCAGUAUCUGGAGAGGUCAGAGGAACGGUUCUUGGAACAGAUCGGAAGACACCAAGACGUGACCUCUGCCAUGCUCCAGAAC